rnacentral:rRNA from 1 species
CCACGGGCAUGCCUUAGUACGGCGAGUGAGCGGCAAAAGCUCAAAUUUGAAAUCUGGUACCUUCGGUGCCCGAGUUGUAAUUUGGAGAGGGCAACUUUGGGGCCGUUCCUUGUCUAUGUUCCUUGGAACAGGACGUCAUAGAGGGUGAGAAUCCCGUGUGGCGAGGAGUGCGGUUCUUUGUAAAGUGCCUUCGAAGAGUCGAGUUGUUUGGGAAUGCAGCUCUAAGUGGGUGGUAAAUUCCAUCUAAAGCUAAAUAUUGGCGAGAGACCGAUAGCGAACAAGUACAGUGAUGGAAAGAUGAAAAGAACUUUGAAAAGAGAGUGAAAAAGUACGUGAAAUUGUUGAAAGGGAAGGGCAUUUGAUCAGACAUGGUGUUUUGUGCCCUCUGCUCCUUGUGGGUAGGGGAAUCUCGCAUUUCACUGGGCCAGCAUCAGUUUUGGUGGCAGGAUAAAUCCAUAGGAAUGUAGCUUGCCUCGGUAAGUAUUAUAGCCUGUGGGAAUACUGCCAGCUGGGACUGAGGACUGCGACGUAAGUCAAGGAUGCUGGCAUAAUGGUUAUAUGCCGCCCGUCUUGAACCAACGGGACCA